rnacentral:rRNA from 1 species
GUCUAUGGCCAUGCUAUUCUGAACAAGCCCAAUCCCAUCUGACCAUCUGAUCUCGGAAGCUAAGCAGGGUUGGGCCUGGUUAGUACUUGGAUGGGAGACCACCUAGGAAGACCAGGUGCUGUAGUUG